UGAGGAAUAUUGGUCAAUGGGCGAGAGCCUGAACCAGCCACGUCGCGUGAAGGAAGACUGACCUUACGGUUUGUAAACUUCUUUUGUAGAGGGGUAAUGGCAGAUACGUGUAUUUGCGUGAAAGUACUCUACGAAUAAGUAUCGGCUAACUCCGUGCCAGCAGCCGCGGUAAUACGGGGGAUACGAGCGUUAUCCGGAAUUAUUGGGUUUAAAGGGUGCGUAGGUGGCUAUUUAAGUCAGGGGUGAAAAGCAUGAGCUCAACUCAUGUCUUGCCUUUGAAACUGGACAGCUAGAGAAGAGACGAGGUAUGUGGAAUGUGUGGUGUAGCGGUGAAAUGCAUAGAUAUCACACAGAACUCCGAUUGCGCAGGCAGCGUACCAGACUUAUUCUGACACUGAAGCACGAAAGCGUGGGUAUCAAACAGG
rnacentral:rRNA from 1 species